rnacentral:tRNA from 1 species
UUCAGGAUGGCCGAGUGGUCUAAGGCGCCAGACUCAAGGUUAAACCUUCCUGUGAUCGGGAUUUCUGGUCUCCGAAUGUAGGCGCGGGUUCGAAUCCCGCUUCUGACA